UUGGUCGCAGGUUCGAAUCCUGCACGACCCACCAAUUUAACAUCAAACUCAGAUGUUGAGCGUGAAGGAUAACGUUGCGUCAGCAACGGCCCGAAGGGCGAGGCGAAGCCGAGUCAUCCUGCACAACCCACCA
rnacentral:sRNA from 1 species